rnacentral:rRNA from 1 species
CUACGGGUGGCUCCAGUAGGGAAUAUUGCACAAUGGGGGGAACCCUGAUGCAGCAACGCCGCGUGGAGGAUGACGCAUUUCGGUGUGUAAACUCCUUUUAUAUGUCAAGAAAAUGACGGUAGCAUAUGAAUAAGCACCGGCUAACUCCGUGCCAGCAGCCGCGGUAAUACGGAGGGUGCAAGCGUUACUCGGAAUCACUGGGCGUAAAGGACGCGUAGGCGGGUUGGAAAGUCAGGUGUGAAAUCCUACAGCUUAACUGUAGAACUGCACUUGAAACUUCUAAUCUAGAGUAUGAGAGGGGGAGAUGGAAUUAGUGGUGUAGGGGUAAAAUCCGUAGAUAUCACUAGGAAUACCUAAAGCGAAGGCGAUCUCCUGGAACAUUACUGACGCUAAGGCGUGAAAGCGUGGGGAGCAAACAGGAUUAGAUACCCGCGUAGUC